GCCUCUGCUCGUCGGUGACGUCACAUCGCCGCAGUGCCCGCCCAUGGAGGGGAAGCCGCCGCGAGCGAGGGAGGCGGCGCGAGGUCUAGGGUUUGAGCAGGGCCGUCGCUGCUGCUCGUGCGGCGGUUCCUUGCAUUCAUCCUCCUCGACAUCCCCUCUAACUCCAUACAGUACAAAGUGCGCCGUGGUUGGAGGGGGCGCAGAGGACUCUCUCCUCUAGGUCGCAACGGCCGGCGGCGGCGAAGGGAUGGCAGGAGGGCCCAUGCUAUGUUAACAAAGGGAGAAGAGAGAAUGGGUUAGUUAUGAGGCCAUGUGUAAAGGGAGAGCACAACCACACAAGUGGGGAACAACAGUUGGAUGAGGUGUAUAGUGGGCCACUUGCAGAGAGAUUUGGAUGCUUUCUAUACAGGUCAAUGGUAGAUAUCCAUGUCCAUGCCUGUUAAUCUCCAAUAAAACAUGGGAGUAUGCAGAUGUGGUAUCAAAUGAAAUACCGAGGCUGUAUUGUGUCGAUGAGCACCCAAAUGGACCACAAAUGUUUGGAAGUGAAUGGUCGCCAUGGCUUAUCUACAGUAUGGGCACAUUGCAAUCAGGCAUAUUUCUCAGCCUGUGUUUCUUGACUGAAUGACUGGGCUGCUCUAUAAAGUAAUCGCCGUAAUUCUGGUCUUUCAUGGUGAGUGUAGUAAAAGGCCAGUAACAAUCUGAAGCCUGAAACAUAUCAAAAGAGACCAGCUCAUGCAUGCAUAAUGGUGUCGUUGUCGGGCGGCAUAUUAAUCCACUAGUAGUCAGGUUCGUACAAUUUUACACGCUGCCGAAUCAAGACGAGGGCUUCCCCCUCGUUCCUCUUAUCAUUUGGGCUGUGACCCCAUCAUUUUGGCAUCACCUUUUCUCGCGCCUGUGGUGGAUGGAUGGAGGGAUGGCUUUUUUCCCCUUUACCAGUUUGUCUCCUUAGGGUUGCCACUCCUGGCUCAAAACUCCAAGCAUCCGCCUCUCGAUCUGCACCAUUCGUCCUGCGGAUACAUGCAUGCACGUCAUCGCUACCUCCUGCAGUCAGGUGACUCUCGCAUAUGCAUGCAAUUUCUAGCUCGUUGUUUCUGGAUUUUAACCUAUAGUUCUGUCUGGUUUAAUUUGGUGUGUGAAGUUUUCUAUAGAUUAGUUGUAAAAUGCACUGUAAAAUUCAGAGUUGGUUUCAUGGGUAUUUCUCGAAAUCUUAAUGUAUGGCACCGGUUCUACUCAUGUCGGGGAAUUCCUAUAGCUAUCAGAGGGGCUGAAGUGGGUAAAAAAACUUUGCUUGAAUCGUGGACGUGCAAUAGAAUUAUUUUUUCAUGUACCUGAAGUACCGUGAGGUAGAUGCAUAUUUUUGUGUUUAAUUAUGAGGU